GACGAACGCUGGCGGCGUGCCUAAUACAUGCAAGUAGAACGCUGAAGGAGGAGCUUGCUUCUCUGGAUGAGUUGCGAACGGGUGAGUAACGCGUAGGUAACCUGCCUGGUAGCGGGGGAUAACUAUUGGAAACGAUAGCUAAUACCGCAUAAGAGUAGAUGUUGCAUGACAUUUGCUUAAAAGGUGCAAUUGCAUCACUACCAGAUGGACCUUCGUUGUAUUAGCUAGUUGGUGGGGUAACGGCUCACCAAGGCGACGAUACAUAGCCGACCUGAGAGGGGGAUCGGCCACACUGGGACUGAGACACGGCCCAGACUCCUACGGGAGGCAGCAGUAGGGAAUCUUCGGCAAUGGACGGAAGUCUGACCGAGCAACGCCGCGUGAGUGAAGAAGGUUUUCGGAUCGUAAAGCUCUGUUGUCAGAGAAGAACGAGUGUGAGAGUGGAAAGUUCACACUGUGACGGUAUCUUACCAGAAAGGGACGGCUAACUACGUG
rnacentral:rRNA from 1 species